rnacentral:rRNA from 1 species
UACGGAGGGGGCUAGCGUUGUUCGGAAUUACUGGGCGUAAAGCGCACGUAGGCGGCCUUGUAAGAUGGGGGUGAAAUCCCCGGGCUCAACCCGGGAAUUGCCUUCAUGACUGCAAAGCUCGAGGAUGCGAGAGGUGAAUGGAAGUCCGAGUGUAGAGGUGAAAUUCGUAGAUAUUCGGAAGAACACCAGUGGCGAAGGCGAUUCACUGGCGCAUUUCUGACGCUGAGGUGCGAAAGCGUGGGGAGCAAACAGG